AAUUAUUGACAAUGGGGGAAACCCUGAUCCAGCCAUCCCGCGUGUAUGAUGAAGGNCUNNGGGUUNUNAAGUACUUUUGGCCGNNNNNAAAAGGUACCUCCUAAUACGAGGUACUGCUGACGGUAUCUGCAGAAUAAGCCCCGGCUAACUACGUGCCAGCAGCCGCGGUAAUACGUAGGGUGCAAGCGUUAAUCGGACUUACUGGGCGUAAAGCUUGUGUAUGCGGUUCGGAAAGGAAGAUGUGAAAUCCCAGGGCUCAACCUUGGAACUGCAUUUUUAACUGCCGAGCUAGAGUAUGUCAGAGGGGGGUAGAAUUCCACGUGUAGCAGUGAAAUGCGUAGAUAUGUGGAGGAAUACCGAUGGCGAAGGCAGCCCCCUGGGAUAAUACUGACGCUCAGACACGAAAGCGUGGGGAGCAAACA
rnacentral:rRNA from 1 species